UACGUAGGGUGCAAGCGUUAAUCGGAAUUACUGGGCGUAAAGCGUGCGCAGGCGGUUUUGUAAGUCUGUCGUGAAAUCCCCGGGCUCAACCUGGGAAUUGCGAUGGAGACUGCAAGGCUAGAAUCUGGCAGAGGGGGGUGGAAUUCCACGUGUAGCAGUGAAAUGCGUAGAGAUGUGGAGGAACACCGAUGGCGAAGGCAGCCCCCUGGGCUAACACUGACGCUCAUGCACGAAAGCGUGGGGAGCGAACAGG
rnacentral:rRNA from 1 species